rnacentral:rRNA from 1 species
AAAAUCGGCCAUACCAUGCUGGAUACGCCGGUUCUCGUCCGAUCACCGAAGCUGAGCCACGUUGGGCUCGGUCAGUACUUGUGAGGUAGCCCACCUGGGAACACCGAGUGCUGACGGCU